CCUACGGGAGGCAGCAGUGGGGGAUAUUGCACAAUGGGGGGAACCCUGAUGCAGCGACGCCGCGUGGGUGAAGGAGUGCUUCGGCAUGUAAAGCCCUAUCGGCAGGGAAGAAGCAAGACGGUACCUGACUAAGAAGCCCCGGCUAACUACGUGCCAGCAGCCGCGGUAAUACGUAGGGGGCGAGCGUUAUCCGGAUUCACUGGGCGGAAAGGGAGCGUAGACGGCCAUGCAAGCCAGGGGUGAAAGCCCGGGGCCCAACCCCGGGACUGCCCUUGGAACUGCAUGGCUGGAGUGCGGGAGGGGCAGGCGGAAGUCCUGGUGUAGCGGUGAAAUGCGUAGAUAUCAGGAGGAACACCGGCGGCGAAGGCGGCCUGCUGGACCGCGACUGACGUUGAGGCUCGAAAGCGUGGGGAGCGAACAGGAUUAGAUACCCUAGUAGUC
rnacentral:rRNA from 1 species